GGAGGGGUCGCGUAGUGGUCGAGCGCGCGUGUUUGGAAAACACGUAACCGCAAGGUUCCAGGGUUCGAAUCCCUGCCUCUCCG
rnacentral:tRNA from 1 species